GGUCAAUGAUGGUAUGGCAUGUAUUAACUGAAUGCAAAUUUGAUGUAAGUUUUAAAAUAAUACUGAGACCUU
ensembl:snoRNA